rnacentral:sRNA from 1 species
AUUCUGCCCAUGCGGGGAAGGACGAGAAGCUUCGACCAAGGUUCGACUCGAGCGUCAGCGAGAGAGCGUUGCCGCAGGCAACGACCCGUAGGGCGAAGCGCGCAGCGCUGAGUAAUCCUUUCCCCACCACCA